UGCGCUGCGGCGGGCGGCUGCAGGCGGGUAGCAGAACCUGCCUCUCUGGCUCCGCUCCUCAGACAAGGCCUGCAGAAAGACUUGCCGGCGCCCCCGUCCUCCCUGACCUUCUUCCACUGAACAAAGCAGGUUAUCUGAGCUGUAGCGAAUCUCCACCCAUAUAGAACUUUAAAGUUUUAUUUUGAAUGACAAAAGAAGUAUGGCCUAGAUUGGUUGUCCCUCGUGCUAAAAAGGCAUUUUUCCAGCUGUGGCUCAUCAAGGAGGGGGCCGUUAGGGGAAUGAGCUGGAACGCGGAGAGGGGAGAGAUCAGUCACUUCCCGGAGUGCCACGGCCCCAGGGACCCUCCGUAACCUCCCCCAGCGUGGCCACAGCCGGCCCUCGGACGGCGGAAGACAUUUGGUCAGCCCUGCCCGCCCGCUGGCGCACUUGUCUCCAGCCCUCGGCGCCACACCUCCUCCCCACCAGGCGCACCGCGUGGUUUGCCCAGUUUCCCGGAUCCCGCAGAGAGGCGGCGGUGUUGAGGGCACGCCGCCUCCUCCUCCCGCCCUCUGGUUCGGGGGGCCCCUGGCGCACCACCCCCAGUGCAGGCUCUCGCGGGGCCGGACUCAGCCAGUGCCGCAGGUGCAGCCCAGAGGCAACACGCGGCUCUCCGUUCCCCUGCCCUCCGGGAGACCGAGCCCCACCUGGCCGCAGCGCUCGCAGGAUUUGGACCCCGCCGGUGUUCAUAUGCAUAAAUGAGCAGGCUUGCAUCCUGAUUGGGCUUAGUAAAUCUGAAGCUCAGAAAAGAAGCGGCUUCAGAAGUCAUCAAAUGGAAACUGAAACCAUGAGAAUAAAUGAAAAGACCCACGAAGCAUGUAGAUGAUGAGAAGGGAGGAAAUUGAAGACCACAAGGACUUACAUUUCAGGAGUGGAAAAAGGAAGAGGAGCCUAAGAAUAAAUAGAGAAGAAGGAGGAAAGCCAUGAGAGUAUAACAUCAUGGACACCACAUGCAUCAGCCACGCAGUUGAUCCUCUGUCUCACUUUCUCCUUCCUAACAGAACCUGAUGUUGUUAGGGUAAGCACCCACCUCUGGAGGGCUAUGUGCUUCAGAGGAGGCAGCCGCAGCCACAGCUCCAAAGGAAGAGAUGGGAUGGCAGCAUGAGGGUGAUUCCACGCGCAGAGAAAGGCAAAACCACGACGAUCACUGAGAAACAGCAAUGGAGCCUUGGCAGCAGCAAGCCCUGGUUGUCUUGUUAUGUGACAUGAUAAAUUGUUUAAGGCAGUCUGAGUCAAAGUUUUGCUAACGUUGUUUGUGGACAAUUUAAGUACUUUAAUCACAAAGGAGUUUAAUAUAGGGAAGUAGCUGCUUACGAAAACUUAUAGAAAUGACUCCUGGAACAUGUAAAGCUGACCCCUGUCUGAAGAGUGGGGACUCAGGAGACCACUAUGAGAACUAAUGAGUCCAAGAACACAGUGCUUUAUUUGCAAUCCAAGGAUCAGAAAGCCAUAACCAAACCACCACAGCUGCCUGUCAGUACUCACAAAGCUGGUGAAUUAACAUGGAACACUAGUUCAGAAAACUGACCCAUCUUUUUGACCUUACUUGCUGGUCAGAAGAAUGACCUUCACUUAUUUCCACUUUCCAGAUAGCUCCCAUCUAAUGACCAGCUUUUUUGCUCUUUAUUCCAACUUUCAUCUCAGAUCGUCUAUCUAGAAUCAUUUUUCCUUUAGAAUUUUCUGAGGGUCUUCUUGUGAUUUUUCAGAUUCGGUUUGCCUGGAAAUAUCUUUGUAUUGCCCUCAUUCUUGAAAAAAAAAAUUUUCUAAACAUAGAAGAUA